CUCUUUUGUAAAUAUGUAACUUUUUGGUGAGUUUAAUAUACCGAUAGGAGACUCUCCUGCCGUCCUUUCGGUAAAAAAAAACUAAAAAAGAUAGUAUGAGUAAAAUCUCUAGCGACUCUAAAAUAUGAAAUAUGAGCUACGACAUUACUCUUCUUAAAAACAAACUAGAAAAAAUAGUAUGAGUAAAAUCUCUAGCAACGGAAAAACACUCUUCAUAAUUGUCGCAGCCGGACCAAUGAAAUUGCCACAAUCUUUAGAACCGCGCUAUAAAAAUAUCCAUGAAAAUAAUAAUUGAUCACCGACAGCGAGGAACAAAUGACCUUAUUCUACAAAAUCCUGGGCCUUACCUUGCUUAUACACAGAAAAAUGCUGGCCCUGGACCGCGCGAAAAGAAAUCAGCUUCUUUUAGCUGCAGAUCUCUUUCUCCGAUUUUCAAGCACACGCUAGUUUUUUUCUAGCACACGCUAGUUUGUUUCAGAGACCGAAGAUACAGUAGCUCGGUGCUAGUUUCUUCUUUGGUUCUUGUUCCCUUGUAGGCCUGUUCUUUCUGCACAAUUGCUCCCUUGUGGGCCAGUGAGUGACAGGAUGGGCUCUUCCUAUUACCAGAGACAAAGUAGUAGUAGUUCCUUGAGAAAGAGUUGGGCUGGGCUAGGUCACUUUGCCAGUACUACUAAGAACGUCUGCGUUCUGAGCUAGCCUAUUAGAAAUUCCCCAGGCUUCGUUUGGAUGUCUGAAUUGGAGGG
rnacentral:lncRNA from 1 species